AUUGAACGCUGGCGGCAGGCCUAACACAUGCAAGUCGAGCGGAGCGGCGGACGGAUGAGUAAUGCCUAGGAAUCUGCCUGGUAGUGGGGGAUAACGUCCGGAAACGGGCGCUAAUACCGCAUACUAUCAGAUGAGCCUAGGUCGGAUUAGCUAGUUGGUGGGGUAAAGGCCUACCAAGGUGACUAUCCGUAACUGGUCUGAGAGGAUGCUCAGUCACACUGGAACUUAGACACUGUCCGGACUCCUACGUGAGGCAGCAGUGGGGAAUAUUGGACAAUGGGCGAAAGCCGGUACCAGCCAUGCCGCGUGUGUGAAGAAGGUUUUCGGAUUGUAAAGCACUGUAAGUUGGGAGGCGUUACCAACAGAAGAAGCACCGGCUAACUUCGUGCCAGCAGCCGCGGUAAUAC
rnacentral:rRNA from 1 species